rnacentral:rRNA from 1 species
CCUACGGGAGGCAGCAGUGAGGAAUAUUGGUCAAUGGACGCAAGUCUGAACCAGCCAUGCCGCGUGCAGGAAGACGGCUCUAUGAGUUGUAAACUGCUUUUGUACGGGGAUAAACCCCGAUACGUGUAUCUGUUUGUAAGUAUCGUACGAAUAAGGAUCGGCUAACUCCGUGCCAGCAGCCGCGGUAAUACGGAGGAUUCAAGCGUUAUCCGGAUUUAUUGGGUUUAAAGGGUGCGUAGGUGGUCAGUUAAGUUAGAGGUGAAAUCCCGGGGCUCAACCCCGGAAUUGCCUCUGAUACUGGUGGGCUAGAGUGUAGUUGCGGUAGGCGGAAUGUAUGGUGUAGCGGUGAAAUGCAUAGAGAUCAUACAGAACACCGAUUGCGAAGGCAGCUUACCAAGCUACGACUGACGUUGAGGCACGAAAGCGUGGGGAGCAAACAGGAUUAGAUACCCUUGUAGUC